rnacentral:rRNA from 1 species
UACGUAGGGUGCGAGCGUUGUCCGGAAUUAUUGGGCGUAAAGAGCUCGUAGGCGGUUUGUCGCGUCGACUGUGAAAACCCGAGGCUUAACCUCGGGCCUGCAGUCGAUACGGGCAGACUAGAGUUCGGUAGGGGAGACUGGAAUUCCUGGUGUAGCGGUGAAAUGCGCAGAUAUCAGGAGGAACACCGGUGGCGAAGGCGGGUCUCUGGGCAGUAACUGACGCUGAGGAACGAAAGCGUGGGUAGCAAACAGG